rnacentral:lncRNA from 1 species
AGCUUUUAUAGAAACGAAUAUAGAACUAGGCUAGAAUACUAUCAAUAGCACCAAGCUAUUGGUGCUAUUAGUUUUUCGGUCCUUAGAUGAAAAAAUAUACGGUUAAAAUGAUGCGAGUUCUCUAGGGUUGAGUGAGUUAUUUAUUUAAUAGUAUAAUUUAACGAAUAAAAAUAGUCAAAGAGUUAAAUCUAACGGCGAAAAAUUUGAUAGCACCAAACGCUUAGUGCUAUCGAUAGUAUUCUAGGCAGACUCACUAACAUAAUGUAUGUUACAAACAUGCAAUUAAUUAAUUCAUUGGCGUAUUUCACACUACAACAGAAUUAGAUUAUAGGGACACAUGUUUGGGACACUUUUGUCUAAGUGUCCCAUUUAUGUCAAAAUUUUAAAAAACAUCUAUUAAUGUCUAAAUAUAAAGCCGAAUCCAACAAAAAAUAAAAUGUUACUAUACUCAACCUACCCAACCCAGCCCAUUUGGUCCGAUUCCAAAUAGAAAAGAAAAAAAAAAAAAUCGAUUACCAUCUCCCCAUCUUCCCUCACUUAAUCCAUUGAAAUUCUAGAAGAAGGGCCCUUCCCUCUCGUUCUCCUCCGCCACCGCAGCCAACGAGAUAGA